UCAGAUGGUCGGAUGGCCGCUCCCCGGUUUUCGGGGGGAGGAAAGUCCGGGCUCCAUGGAAAUGCGGUGCCGGAUAACGUCCGGCGGGGGCGACCCCAGGGAAAGUGCCACAGAAAGCAAACCGCCGGUCUUUUGCGGCGUCUUCGGACGACGCCGGCCGGCAAGGGUGAAAGGGUGCGGUAAGAGCGCACCGCGCGACCGGCAACGGAAGCGGCACGGUAAACCCCACCGGGAGCAAGACCAAGUAGGGAUGGUGUGCCGUCCGCCUUGAAAAGGGCGGCCGGCAAGGCGGAUUUCCACGCUGCCGUCCGGGGCGGUCGCGCGAGGCGUCCGGUAACGGGCGUCCCAGAUGAAUGGCCAUCCAUCCGUCUUCGGGCGGAGGACAGAACCCGGCUUACAGACCAUCUGACGCA
rnacentral:RNase_P_RNA from 1 species